rnacentral:rRNA from 1 species
GUCUUUUUGAUUAUAAUUUAAAGUCUGACCUGCCCAAUGAAUUUUAAAUGGCCGCGGUAUUUUGACCGUGCAAAGGUAGCAUAAUCAUUAGUUUUUUAAUUAAAAGCUGGAAUGAAUGGUUGGACGAGAAAAUUACUGUCUCAAUUUAAUUUAAUUAGAAUUUUAUUUUUAAGUUAAAAAGCUUAAAUAUAUUUAAAAGACGAGAAGACCCUAUAGAGUUUAAUAUUAUGAUUAUUUUUAAUUUUUAUAAUUUAAAAAAUUUUUAUAAUAUUUUAUUGGGGUGAUAAAUAAAUUUAUAAAACUUUAUUUUUUUUUUUACAUAAAUUAAUGAUUUUAUGAUCCAUUUUUAAUGAUUAAAAGAUUAAAUUACCUUAGGGAUAACAGCGUAAUUUUUUUAGAGAGUUCAAAUCGAAAAAAAAGAUUGCGACCUCGAUGUUGGAUUAAAGUAAAUUUUUGGUGUAGAAGCUAAAAUAUUAAGUCUGUUCGACUUUUAAAACUUUACAUGAUCUGAGUUUAAACCGGCGUGAGCCAGGUUGGUUUCUAUCUUUAAAAUAAUAAAAUAUUUUAGUACGAAAGGACCAAAUAUUUAUAAUAAUUAUUUAAUUUUGAAUAU